rnacentral:rRNA from 1 species
AGAUUGAACGCUGGCGGCAUGCCUUACACAUGCAAGUCGAACGGCAGCACGGGGGCAACCCUGGUGGCGAGUGGCGAACGGGUGAGUAAUGCAUCGGAACGUGCCCAGUAGUGGGGGAUAACUAGUUGAAAGAUUAGCUAAUACCGCAUACGACCUAUGGGUGAAAGCGGGGGAUUCGCAAGAACCUCGCGCUAUCGGAGCGGCCGAUGUCUGAUUAGCUAGUUGGACGGGGUAAAGCCCACCAAGGCUUCGAUCAGUAGCUGGUCUGAGAGGACGACCAGCCACACUGGACUGAGACACGGCCAGACUCC